GCCAACCCUCACAAACCUUCCUAAAAACUAAAAGAGCUAUUACUGAGUCUCAGCGAAUCUUGCCAUGAUCAGCUCUUCCCAGAAGAGAAGGAAGACCAAGGAAAUGAUUUGCUCAGGAUGAGGAAUGAAGAUGGCCAUCUUGUGCUCAAACAAACAGAAGUCCUCUGAUGAUCUCAUCAGCCAAAUGAGGGGUUUUGACCAAGUGAUGCUCUUGAAAGGAGUGAAAGAAGAGGAUGUGCUAAAUUCUCUUCAGAGAAAAAGCUUCUCAAAAGGUCUUAAAGCAGCUUGAAGAAUGGUCUGGGAUCUUAGGACUGAGAGAUCCUCUGGCUGAGAGAAGCUACACCACAUCAGUGCUGGAUAUCAGCCACAAACUGUUUCCAGACACGAGAGAAGAAGAACACGAUGGGGAGAUGAAACCAGUUUAGAUGUGAUGAUGGGAAUCAUUAUUUUCUGGAACAGUAUCUCAUGUCUUAUAUGUAUCACAUGAUCUGUAUCACAGUUGACUGGAUGGGACUGUGUGACUUUUAAGGACAUUUCAUCACUCAUCUGUGUGAACUGAUUUAUAUAUGAGGUUAAUGUAUUUUUGAUGAUAAUUAUUUUCAUUGAAUCUUAUUCGUCUUGAUGCUACUUUAUCAACUUUAUAGUCUAUGCUUCAAUAAAAUGAAAAUGGUGAA